rnacentral:rRNA from 1 species
CGAGCGAGCUUGCCUAGAUGAUUUUAGUGCUUGCACUAAAUGAAACUAGAUACAAGCGAGCGGCGGACGGGUGAGUAACACGUGGGUAACCUGCCCAAGAGACUGGGAUAACACCUGGAAACAGAUGCUAAUACCGGAUAACAACACUAGACGCAUGCCUAGAGUUUGAAAGAUGGUUCUGCUAUCACUCUUGGAUGGACCUGCGGUGCAUUAGCUAGUUGGUAAGGUAACGGCUUACCAAGGCAAUGAUGCAUAGCCGAGUUGAGAGACUGAUCGGCCACAUUGGGACUGAGACACGGCCCAAACUCCUACGGGAGGCAGCAGUAGGGAAUCUUCCACAAUGGACGAAAGUCUGAUGGAGCAACGCCGCGUGAGUGAAGAAGGGUUUCGGCUCGUAAAGCUCUGUUGGUAGUGAAGAAAGAUAGAGGUAGUAACUGGCCUUUAUUUGACGGUAAUUACUUAGAAAGUCACGGCUAACUACGUGCCAGCAGCCGCGGUAAUACGUAGGUGGCAAGCGUUGUCCGGAUUUAUUGGGCGUAAAGCGAGUGCAGGCGGUUCAAUAAGUCUGAUGUGAAAGCCUUCGGCUCAACCGGAGAAUUGCAUCAGAAACUGUUGAACUUGAGUGCAGAAGAGGAGAGUGGAACUCCAUGUGUAGCGGUGGAAUGCGUAGAUAUAUGGAAGAACACCAGUGGCGAAGGCGGCUCUCUGGUCUGCAACUGACGCUGAGGCUCGAAAGCAUGGGUAGCGAACAGGAUUAGAUACCCUGGUAGUCCAUGCCGUAAACGAUGAGUGCUAAGUGUUGGGAGGUUUCCGCCUCUCAGUGCUGCAGCUAACGCAUUAAGCACUCCGCCUGGGGAGUACGACCGCAAGGUUGAAACUCAAAGGAAUUGACGGGGGCCCGCACAAGCGGUGGAGCAUGUGGUUUAAUUCGAAGCAACGCGAAGAACCUUACCAGGUCUUGACAUCCAGUGCAAACCUAAGAGAUUAGGUGUUCCCUUCGGGGACGCUGAGACAGGUGGUGCAUGGCUGUCGUCAGCUCGUGUCGUGAGAUGUUGGGUUAAGUCCCGCAACGAGCGCAACCCUUGUCAUUAGUUGCCAUCAUUAAGUUGGGCACUCUAAUGAGACUGCCGGUGACAAACCGGAGGAAGGUGGGGAUGACGUCAAGUCAUCAUGCCCCUUAUGACCUGGGCUACACACGUGCUACAAUGGACGGUACAACGAGAAGCGAACCUGCGAAGGCAAGCGGAUCUCUUAAAGCCGUUCUCAGUUCGGACUGUAGGCUGCAACUCGCCUACACGAAGCUGGAAUCGCUAGUAA